rnacentral:lncRNA from 1 species
GAAGAAAUAGAAGGAAAAAAAAGAUAAUUUGUUUUGUGUGGCUCAUUGACUUAAGUUUUGUAUGGUUUUUAAAUUUUCUUUUCGAUUAGUUAGUUGUUUGCUUAUAUUCAAUAUUUCAGUGUGUCUAUAAUUUUAUUCUUCUUGUAGCAUUUUUUUAUUUUUUAUUUUUUUAAUUGUAUAUCAGUUAUUAUAUGUUCUGAACCGAUAAAAAGACAUAAUUGGCCGAGAUUUAAUCCAUCUCAAGUCCAUUAUACUCGACUAAAAUUAUAAAAAUAGUUCAC